rnacentral:rRNA from 1 species
GAUGAACGCUGGCGGCGUGCCUAAUACAUGCAAGUCGAGCGAACAGACGAGGAGCUUGCUCCUCUGACGUUAGCGGCGGACGGGUGAGUAACACGUGGAUAACCUACCUAUAAGACUGGGAUAACUUCGGGAAACCGGAGCUAAUACCGGAUAAUAUAUUGAACCGCAUGGUUCAAUAGUGAAAGACGGUCUUGCUGUCACUUAUAGAUGGAUCCGCGCCGCAUUAGCUAGUUGGUAAGGUAACGGCUUACCAAGGCAACGAUGCGUAGCCGACCUGAGAGGGUGAACGGCCACACUGGAACUGAGACACGGUCCAGACUCCUACGGGAGGCAGCAGUAGGGAAUCUUCCGCAAUGGGCGAAAGCCUGACGGAGCAACGCCGCGUGAGUGAUGAAGGUCUUCGGAUCGUAAAACUCUGUUAUUAGGGAAGAACAAAUGUGUAAGUAACUGUGCACAUCUUGACGGUACCUAAUCAGAAAGCCACGGCUAACUACGUG